rnacentral:rRNA from 1 species
CGCGUAGGCGGAUCGUUAAGUCAGAGGUGAAAUCCCAGGGCUCAACCCUGGAACUGCCCUUGAUACUGGCGAUCUUGAGUAUGAGAGAGGUAUGUGGAACUCCGAGUGUAGAGGUGAAAUUCGUAGAUAUUCGGAAGAACACCAGUGGCGAAGGCGACAUACUGGCUCAUUACUGACGCUGAGGCGCGAAAGCGUGGGGAGCAAACA